rnacentral:rRNA from 1 species
CACGGAGGAUCCGAGCGUUAUCCGGAUUUAUUGGGUUUAAAGGGUGCGCAGGCGGGAGAUUAAGUCGGCGGUGAAAUUUUGCAGCUCAACUGUAAAAGUGCCUUCGAAACUGGUUUCCUUGAGUGUGGAUGAAGUAGGCGGAAUUUGUGGUGUAGCGGUGAAAUGCAUAGAUAUCACGAGGAACUCCGAUUGCGCAGGCAGCUUACUAAACCAUAACUGACGCUCAGGCACGAAGGCGUGGGGAUCAAACAGGAUUAGAUACCCUGGUA